GCAUUUUCAUUAGAAUCUCAGAAACUCAAAUGUGGCCUCCCAAUGUCCAAGUUUUUACAUUCAAGCUAACUAGACAAGAAAUAAUUUAUGAAAUAUUAGUCACAUCCUCUCUCAAAUCAUAGAAGUUCUUUGAUUAGAUAUUGACUAUCCCAAUAUCCAAUUCCCCAAUUCAGCCAAUAAAUAAGUGAAUAAACAAACUAAACAAGAGAGCAGAACCCGGAUUCAAGAAAAUCAAUUUGCGAAAAAAGAUCAGCAACGAUGCCAAACCUCAAAAGACUUCUUCAAUGGUUCAUCAGCAGAUCAGCUGCAAUGAAAAUUAGCAACAUAUUAGUGCUUCCCAGAUCUAGAGAUCAAAAACUUAAAAAAAAAAAAAAAUAUUAUGAGAAAGCUGACUUUUUUCCAUCAUGUUCCAAAUUGCUUGAUGAAGUCUUCAGUAAUGAACACCAUUUUUUACUCUGUUCUUCUCUACAAUCUCUAUUGAUUCAAACCCAGAUUUCAAACGUAUUUCAUUGGUGGAAAAUCUGGAGAAAGGGUUAAAUUAUGAAAAUAUAAAAAGGAACAAACAAGUAAUCACCAAACUGAAAUCUGAAUUGAAGAAGACAACUUACUACCUUUUGGUCGAAUCAGUCCCUUGCCUUCAUUUUCCUUCCUGUCCCUUCAAUUUCCUUUCGUUCCCGUCCCUUCAAUUUCCUUCCCGUGUCCGUUCAAUUUCCUGAAUGUUCUAAGUUUCUGCUGGACUUC
rnacentral:lncRNA from 1 species